GGCCGGGUGGUGUAGUGAUCAUCACAUCAGUCUCCCACGCUGAAAAUCACGAGUUCGAACCUCGUUCCGGUCA